rnacentral:lncRNA from 1 species
UCAGUCAAAUCUGUGGUGGGCCUAGAGAUAAGUCCUGUGUGGGUAGGUGGGUCGUCAGACACCCUUAGAAUUGAAAUUCCCCCAGUCGGUGCUCACUCCUGCUUGCCGUUUCUGGGAUGUCCAGCUAGAGCUGCUGGAGGAGGACUUUGUGGGAGCUUCUCCGUGACUUCUCAAGGAACAGGGCGAAGGGAACACCUCUGGCAACCGCCGUGUGCCUGUAGUACAGCAGGAGACAGGUCUGUAGCGGAGAGCUCUGGGCUGGAAAACUCCAACCCUGGUCUUUGUGCAUUUCCUGGGAAACAGCGUUCCGUAUGGCACAGUAAUUAUCAAAAGUGGAGCAUUUUUUUGGAUGGACCUGCUCCCCUGAGAGCAGACAACCGGCAGCGGUCACCCACCUGUGAUCACGUUGUCAGAAAAACAUGGGAAGUUAUAGAUGGGAGCGACAAAUGGAGGGGUGUGCAGGAUGGGUCUGAAAUGAGGGGAGGGAGUCUCUUUCUGAGGGUUUGGGCCCCAUCUCCAGCACCAGCAAAGCCGUGUGAUCCUCCCCUUCGCAAUUAGAGCUGCAAAAUAACCCCCGGGCCAGAGCACUGGCGCAUGGAGCAAUUAGACGAGCUAGACAGUGGGAAAAGCUAAAAAUAGGCAAUAAUCUGCCUCCACAGAAAUACCUUGAAUCAUUAGAAAAAGGAUGUUUUAUGAAUUUCCUGGGAAUCGGCCCCUGCUUUUGCAUUUUGUAGCGUUCUGCUAGAAGGGCUGUAUUUUAACUGCUGUUUGACAGAGGUAAACACGAGUAACCCCGCUCUCUUCUUGCACUUGAGACACGGGAAAAAGCUGAGUAAGUCCUGAGAUUUUCGUAUCCAACCCACUGAAAUUGGGGGAACUGGGUUUUCUUAUAUUGAACUGAGGCAAAAUAUGCCUCAGUGCUAUUUUAAGAAAAGCGGUCUAAUAAUUUGAGGGCAGAAAAUGACUUAUUUUCGGUUAUUUAAUGACUCAACCCAGUUUUCUUUAAAAAGGGAUGAAUCAAUGAUACUCAUCCAUUAGCUGAAUCCAGCCUAUUAUAAAAUCUCUCCUUUUAGAAAGUAUAUAAUUUAUAAAAGGAUGACAACUGUUGACUUAUUUUGCAGCACUCCUGAGCUGAACGAAAUGUAAAAAAAAAAAGGCUAAUCAGAGCAGGCUAUUUUUAGUCCUUUGCAGGGAAUUACAGAGGACACUAUUUUAUUAAGAAUGACUAUUUUAUUAAGAAUGACCCUUAGAGGAUGAUUCGACUGUUUCCUGCAGAGAAAAUAAAUUCCCGAUGCAAUUUUUCA